UUAGAUAUUAAAAAUAGCACGGUGUCGUCUCCUGUCAAAGAUUUUCAUUGUAAUAUGAAACUUUGAAUAGUUACGGGUUUCUGUAAAGAGCUCACUAUAGACGGCGCCACGGUUCGCUUAAACCGAAAAUUAAAAAGUUAUCAUAUCGAAAAUUUCGCUCGAGCGGGUGCAUCGUUCCAUAGCUUAAUUGGCUAGAGCGCCGACACGGCAAGUCGGAGACGCGGGUUCGAACCCCGCUGGAGCGGUCAAUUUUUGAUAUGAUAUUCAAAAAUGUUUAGAAUUCCUAAUGUGAGUAACACAAAAAUAAAAAUCUUAGAUAUUAAAAAUAGCACGGUGUCGUCUCCUGUCAAAGAUUUUCAUUGUAAUAUGAAACUUUGAAUAGUUAUGGGUUUCUGUAAAGAGCUCACUAUAGACGGCGCCACGGUUCGCUUAAACCGAAAAUUAAAAAUUAUCAUAUCGAAAAUUUCGCUCGAGCGGGUGCAUCGUUCCAUAGCUUAAUUGGCUAGAGCGCCGACACGGCAAGUCGGAGACGCGGGUUCGAACCCCGCUGGAGCGGUCAAUUUUUGAUAUGAUAUUCAAAAAUGUUUAGAAUUCCUAAUGUGGGUAACACAAAAAUAAAAAUCUUAGAUAUUAAAAAUAGCACGGUGUCGUCUCCUGUCAAAGAUUUUCAUUGUAAUAUGAAACUUUGAAUAGUUACGGGUUUCUGUAAAGAGCUCACUAUAGACGGCGCCACGGUUCGCUUAAACCGAAAAUUAAAAAGUUAUCAUAUCGAAAAUUUCGCUCGAGCGGGUGCAUCGUUCCAUAGCUUAAUUGGCUAGAGCGCCGACACGGCAAGUCGGAGACGCGGGUUCGAACCCCGCUGGAGCGGUCAAUUUUUGAUAUGAUAUUCAAAAAUGUUUAGAAUUCCUAAUGUGGGUAACACAAAAAUAAAAA
rnacentral:tRNA from 1 species